rnacentral:rRNA from 1 species
GGGGGAUAACAUUCGGAAACGAAUGCUAAAACCGCAUAGGUCUUCGAACCGCAUGGUUUGAAGAGGAAAAGAGGCGCAAGCUUCUGCUGAUGGAUGGACCCGCGGUGCAUUAGCUAGUUGGUGAGGUAACGGCUCACCAAGGCCGUGAUGCAUAGCCGACCUGAGAGGGUGAUCGGCCACAUUGGGACUGAGACACGGCCCAA